UCGAUGGGGAGCUCGUUGGAGCUGAGAGGAAGGAUCACCUUCGACCCACUGACCUGAUUUGGAUCAUGCCAACGUAGGGAUUCGAUUUUU
rnacentral:ncRNA from 1 species